rnacentral:rRNA from 1 species
UUGAACGCUGGCGGCAUGCUUUACACAUGCAAGUCGAACGGUAACAGGCCUUCGGGUGCUGACGGGUGGCGAACGGGUGAGUAAUGCAUCGGAACGUACCCAGAGGUGGGGGAUAACGCAGCGGAAGCUGUGCUAAUACCGCAUGUGAUCUGAGGAUGAAAGCGGGGGACCGAGCAGCAAUGUUUGGCCUCGCGCCUUUGGAGCGGCCGAUGUCGGAUUAGCUAGUUGGUGGGGUAAAGGCCUACCAAGGCGACGAUCCGUAGCUGGUCUGAGAGGACGACCAGCCACACGGGGACUGAGACACGGCCCAGACUCCUACGGGGGGCAGCAGUGGGGAAUUUUGGACAAUGGGCGCAAGCCUGAUCCAGCAAUGCCGCGUGCGGGAAGAAGGCCUUCGGGUUGUAAACCGCUUUUGGCAGGAACGAAACGGUGUCCGCUAAUACCGGGCGCUAAUGACGGUACCUGCAGAAUAAGCACCGGCUAACUACGUG